AAUAAUAUAGUUAGAAGAAGGCUUUGGUACAUCAAGACGUACAGUCAUAGUUGCGCAACUGGGUUUCUGUUCAAAGCUGCAUCACCAGUCCAAACGGAUUUUGUGAUUAAAGAAACAAAUAACGCCAAGUCAUGUCCGUUCAAGUCAGCCCCACCCAGCUCAAGGAGUACCACGACUUUGCAGUGGAAGUCGCCACAAAGGCAGGAGAGAUGAUAAAGAAAGCCUUCUUUCAGAAGAAAGUUGUAACCAACAAAGGAAGCUGUAUUGACCUUGUUACGGAGACUGAUAAGGCUGUAGAGAAAUGGGUCAUGGGGAUCAUCAAAGAACGCUAUCCCGACCACAGGUUUAUAGGCGAGGAAACCACGGACCUUGACGUUCCCUUUGACUUCAGGGACGACCUGACGUGGAUCGUUGAUCCAGUUGAUGGAACGAAUAACUUUGUUCAUAAUGUUCCAGAUGUAGCUUUCUCCAUGGGGUUAACAGCCAAUAAAAGGUGAUAGUGGGUGUGGUCAACAUACCUGUCCUUGACCUUAUGUACACCAGCAUGAAAGGUCAUGGGUCAUACUGUAAUGGAAGGAAGCUCGCUGCAAGUAGCGUGGAAGAGCUGAAGCAGUCUAUGGUUAUCUAUGAUACUGGGGUUCUACGCUCACCGUGGAAUGUUGACAAAAUGCUCCAGAAUGUCCGCAAUAUAGUCACAA